UUUUUUUAAUGAAUUAAAUUCGCAAAACUACACUAUUUAUAGACAAAUUUCGGGUGGGUUUUUGCAACACGGUGCAUAAUAUAUAAUAGGUGCAUAUAUCCUUUACAAGUAUAGACUGCAGUAGGUAGGUCAUAGAGGUAUAUACUCGCAUGUUUGAAUAAUCAGAUAGCUAGUCUAGAGGGUUCGUGGUAGUGUUUGCCAGACAUAAAGUAAACAUAUAAUAUAUAAUAUAACCGCGCGGUAUACGCAAUCGAUAUUCAUUUCUAUGUAUACCUAUUUAAGUGCUCUAAGUGUUCAAAACUUAUCCGUCCGCGUGGGGUGCGACCGAUACUCACAUUGUCGUAUAAUGUAUUGUAAUAUUAUUCGAAAUGAUCAAUUACCUAUAUUAUUGCUGCAAUCGUCGGAACCGAUUUCGCCGGUCCGUUUACGGCUACGAAGGACGAUAUCAAAAAUAAUUACUCUUCGGUGCCCAAUUCUGUGUGAAGUGUGAAUAACGCGACGGGUUGAGUUUUAUCCCGUACGCCUGUUAAGGAAAAAUACUACAGAACAUAAUCUCAAAUAUUCCAAUAUUUUUCUCUGUCCAGGAACUUCGGUCACCUCCGUUCGCCCACGGCGGAACAAAAACCUCGAUUCGUUACGCAAAACUACUUCGGGUAGGUCAGAACGCGGGGAAAUAUUUUAUUCACUUCCGUGGAUUUUCGAUUUUUUGUAAUCGAAAGAAGGUAACCACCGGGAACCGGAUAUCGGAGAUACAUGACUAUAUUUUAAUAUUUUUAUCGAAUUUAAAAGUAGUUGGUUCUUUAUAUAUUUUUACUAUCAGAGCCUAAUUUAAUUUAAAAGGAGACACAUAUGGUGAAACGCGCGAGUUUACACAUUUUAAAGACCGAUGACUUUUGAUAUUUU